AGAUUAUCCAUGCAUGUGAGGGCAUAAAUUAUUUGCCUGCAUACAGCUCAUUAAAACAAAAAUAACUUACCCUCUAAUUAAUUCGAAUAACAUUGCUAAUUGUGAUGCUAAUACGUGAUAACAAAUAAUCAUUAUAAUCCUUAUAAUAACAACAUGUUAAGGAAAAUUAUAAGGUAUUUAGACAAUUCUUAAGUGGCAAGGUUUUUGAUCUAUCAGCUACAGACGGUUAUGUAUUGGAUAACCGUGGCAUUUACGGAUAACGGGGAAUUAGGGUUUGAUUCCGGAGAGAGCGCAUGAGAGUUUGCGCUUACAGCUNAGGUUGGCAGCAGGAGCGAAAACUUUUCUAAUGAGCGAGGCUUGAANAGGUGACAAAUUGUAUUAACAUCAGCUUUUUGUUGGUGAUUGAAAUGAAAUAUUUUUAAGUUAAAUAUUAAUUAGCAAGUUCAGGGCAAGUCUGGUGCCAGCAGCCGCGGUAAUACCAGCUGAGCUAAGGAUGGGUAAUACUGUUGCAGUAAAAACAUUCGUAGUCACUUGAUUUGUUCUAUAUAUAGUUUAACUAUUAAUAGUGUUCAAAACUUAUUUUUCGCGAUUAAAUUAAAUUGAUUAAAUUGAAUGAUGUAUAAUAAAGCGCGAGAAACCUGAUGAUACCUUUUUGCGAAUUUAUCCGAUUUUGUUAAAAGGAAUAAAUAGUAAAAAUAAGAGAGGAUGGUGGUACUUACCAGCUAGAGGUGAAAUUCUUAGAUUUGGUAAUGACUCACAACUGCAAAAGCAUCCGUCCAGCUUAUUUUUGGUGAUCAAGAAUUAAAGUGUGGGGAUCGAAGAGGAUUAGAUACCCUCGUAGUCCACACCCUAAACUAUGUCAACUAGUGAUUGGUAGAAAUAUAAAUUCCAUCAGAACCUUAGC
rnacentral:rRNA from 1 species